AAUUAUUAAAAGAUCCUAAAAUUAAAAUUCACGAAGAGAGAAGAGCUAAAAAUUUAAAUUAUGUUAGGAUAUUAAAAUAAUUGUUGCAAGAAUUAUGGGAUAUAUAUUUUUAGGGGUGAUAGGCCAAACAAUUCUUUCGAUAUCUUGUUAUUACUUAAAAAUAUUUAGUAUUUUUACAGACUAAAAAUGGUUAGGUUUUUAGUAUAUAUUAUAUAUAAUUAUAAAAUUAUACAAAUUGUAUAAAUACACUUGAAACUAAUAGUAAAAUAUUAAUUAUAAAACUAUAUGUAUAGUAAGUAAAAAAGGUAUAAAAUUUAAAAAACCUUAGAUAAUGUAAUUAUUAGUAUUUUAUAAACAAUUACUUAAGGAACUCGGCAAAAAUUAAUACUCCACUGUUUAUCAAAAACACUCCCUUUGAGUAAUAUAAAGGGUUAGCCCUGCUCAAUGAAAAAUUAAAUAGCCGCAGUACCUUGACUGUGCAAAGGUAGCAUAAUCAGUUGGCUCUUGAUUGGAGUCUUGUAUGAAAGGGUCUAGGGGUAUCUUCUGUCUCAAUUAUGUUUUCAGAAAUUACUCAAUAGAUGCAAAUAUCUAUAUUAUAUAAAGUAGACGAGAAGACCCUAGAAAUUUUUUAUAUUUAUACUAAUUCUAUUUUGUUGGGGCGACAUAGUAACAAGUAACUUACUUAUUAAAUGUAACACUAUUGUGAAUAAUAAAUUAAAUUACUCUAGGGAUAACAGCAUAAUCCUUUUGGGUUUGUGACCUCGAUGUUGGACUAGGGAAACUAUUCUUUAGAAGAAAAUAGUGUAUGUUCUGUUCGAACAAAUAUUCUCCUACAUGAUCUGAGUUCAGACCGG
rnacentral:rRNA from 1 species